rnacentral:rRNA from 1 species
UACGGAGGGUGCAAGCGUUAUCCGGAUUCACUGGGUUUAAAGGGUGCGUAGGUGGGUUGGUAAGUCAGUGGUGAAAUCUCCGGGCUUAACUCGGAAACUGCCGUUGAUACUAUCAAUCUUGAAUGUUGUGGAGGUAAGCGGAAUAUGUCAUGUAGCGGUGAAAUGCUUAGAUAUGACAUAGAACACCGAUAGCGAAGGCAGCUUGCUACACAAUAAUUGACACUGAGGCACGAAAGCGUGGGGAUCAAAACAGGAG